rnacentral:rRNA from 1 species
GUCACACCUGUUCCCAUGCCGAACACAGAAGUUAAGCUCUCCAGCGCCGAUGGUAGUUGGGGCUUUGCCCCUGCAAGAGUAGGACGCCGCCAGGC